UACUUAUAUUUGAGGGUACUGCCACAAUAC
rnacentral:piRNA from 1 species